CCUACGGGUGGCAGCAGUAGGGAAUCUUUCACAAUGGGCGAAAGCCUGAUGGAGCAACGCCGCGUGCAGGAUGAAGGCCUUCGGGUUGUAAACUGCUUUUAUAAGCGAGAAAUAUGAUGGUAACUUAUGAAAAAGCAUCGGCUAACUCCGUGCCAGCAGCCGCGGUAAUACGGAGGAUCCGAGCGUUAUCCGGAUUUAUUGGGUUUAAAGGGAGCGUAGAUGGGUUGUUAAGUCAGUUGUGAAAGUUUGCGGCUCAACCGUAAAAUUGCAAUUGAUACUGGCAGUCUUGAGUACAGUUGAGGUAGGCGGAAUUCGUGGUGUAGCGGUGAAAUGCUUAGAGAUCAUACAGAACACCGAUUGCGAAGGCAGCUUACCAAGCUACUUCUGACGUUGAGGCACGAAAGCGUGGGGAGCAAACAGGAUUAGAUACCCGGGUAGUC
rnacentral:rRNA from 1 species